rnacentral:rRNA from 1 species
UACGGGGGGGGGUAAGCGUUGUUCGGAAUUACUGGGCGUAAAGGGCUCGUAGGCGGCCAACUAAGUCAUACGUGAAAUCCCUCAGCUUAACUGGGGAACUGCGUGUGAUACUGGAUGGCUUGGAUUUGGGAGAGGGAUGCGGAAUUCCAGGUGUAGCGGUGAAAUGCGUAGAUAUCUGGAGGAACACCGGUGGCGAAGGCACUCUACUGGGCUAUUACUGACACUCGAGAGACGAAAAGCUAGGGGAGCAAAAUGGG